rnacentral:lncRNA from 1 species
AACCGGGAUGGAGGUAAGGGCAAAACAGAAGCAGCUACUGUCAUCCAUAAUUAUAAGCCUUAUUGUUUAUUACUCAGUAACAGUUGCAUUUCAAAGCAGAUGUUAUUAAUUAGUGAAAUAACAAGGAAAUUUGCAUUCAUCCUGAUUAAGAGAAGAAUUAAUACUUCAACCAACCCAACACAGGACAUGACCAGGAGAGCUUAGAACAGUGUGUUGUGCAUCCAACUAUCGCUGACUUGGUUCUGGAAUGAAG